rnacentral:lncRNA from 1 species
AUCGAGAUAAAGAGCUGAAAACCCAGCCAAAUAAUUCAUCUUUUCAAAUAAGGGAUAGAACCAAGCAAAGAGAUAAAAAGCUGAAGACCCGAUGAGCCAAACGACUCAUCUUCUCAAAUGAGAGUAACCAGGCACCAGCAUAAAAAGUUGAAAAACUGAAGAGCCAAAUGACCAAUAUUUUCAGACAAGAUAACCCGAUACUGGGAUAAAAAGCU